AGUCGAGAAUCAUUCACAAUGGGGGAAACCCUGAUGGUGCAACGCCGCGUGGAGGAUGACGGUCUUCGGAUUGUAAACUCCUGUCAUCUGGGAGUAAGACCUGACGGUUAAUAGCCGGCAGGGUUGAUAGUACCAGAAGAGGAAGGGACGGCUAACUUCGUGCCAGCAGCCGCGGUAAUACGAAGGUCCCAAGCGUUGUUCGGAAUCACUGGGCGUAAAGGGUGCGUAGGCGGCGUGGUAAGUCAGAUGUGAAAUCCCGGGGCUCAACCUCGGAACUGCAUCCGAUACUACCACGCUAGAGGACCGGAGAGGAGACUGGAAUUCUCGGUGUAGCAGUGAAAUGCGUAGAGAUCGAGAGGAACACUCGUGGCGAAGGCGAGUCUCUGGACGGUUCCUGACGCUGAGGCACGAAGGCUAGGGUAGCGAAAGGGAUUAGAUACCCCUGUAGUCCUAGCAGUAAACGGUGCGCGCUUGGUGUGGGAGGAUUCGACCCCUUCUGUGCCGGAGCUAACGCGUUAAGCGCGCCGCCUGGGGAGUACGGCCGCAAGGCUAAAACUCAAAGAAAUUGACGGGGACCCGCACAAGCGGUGGAGUAUGUGGCUUAAUUCGAUGCAACGCGAAGAACCUUACCUAGGCUUGACAUGCAUCUCUAAGCACGUGAAAGCGUGUGACCCUUCGGGGAAUUUGCACAGGUGCUGCAUGGCCGUCGUCAGCUCGUGUCGUGAGAUGUUGGGUUAAGUCCCGCAACGAGCGCAACCCCUGUGAAUAGUUGCCAGCGCGUAAUGGCGGGGACUCUAUUCAGACUGCCCAGAUCAACUGGGAGGAAGGUGGGGACGACGUCAGGUCAGUAUGGCCCUUACGCCUAGGGCUGCACACGUACUACAAUGCCCAGUACAAUGAGAACCAAUGCCGCGAGGCGGAGGAAAUCUGUAAAACUGGGCCCAGUUCGGAUUGGAGGCUGCAACUCGCCUCCAUGAAGUCGGAAUCGCUAGUAAUGGCACAUCAGCAACGGUGCCGUGAAUACGU
rnacentral:rRNA from 1 species